CGGCACCAAGCGGAUUCCCUUGGAACCAACUGGAGUCGUGCAAUUCAAACAUUCCUCCCAACGGCCGUCUAGCACCGACGAAUGUCAGUGCACAACAGUGCCGGAUAUACCUCGCUCCCGGAGCUAUACGAGAUACGCUGCUGCCGUAAACCGACGGAAACAAUGGAGAGACGCUCCAGAGUCUAUCCUGCCCGCUUCCCUGUCCUUGGGAUGAAUGAGGAGAUUGGCCAGCAGUACUCAAAGUGUAACCAACGAAAGGCGUUUAUUGGUAAGACUUCAUGUAACUCUUCUGAGUAAAACUGAGUAUUAACCUUCUAUCACUCUCUCCAAUGCUGAUCGUUGGUGAAUCGUGCUUCAACGGAGCAAAAGAACAGAGCAGAACGUAUGCGGGCCGGCAGGCGUCGAUGCUUAUUCACUACCUCGAGAACAACGACGACGACGAUGAUGAUGAUGCGAAGAUUUUUUUUUAUUAUUUCGUGUUAGCGCCGCGAAGCAACUGUGCCUGUGAGUGGCAUAUACAGACGUGAACGGAUGGAGAGAGGACA